rnacentral:lncRNA from 10 species
GAGACUGGAAGCUACAGUUCAAGGUGAUAGAGCCCAAAAAAGGUAGAGAUGGGAUCCUCCAACCACUGUUUGAAUGACAGCUGCCUGCUUGAAAAUUUAUGGUACUCUGGGAACCUUCCAGAACCAUCAGAGCUACCUGUCUGUGUCUGGGAAAAUUAGAAGACUUGCUCUGAUAUUGGAACUUGUAGUAAGACUUCUCAACCUUGAUAACAUUCACCACCACCAUCCCCAAUGUCUCAGUGAAAAAAUAAAACUAAAUGAGUUCAAGGAGAACCAUCAACUUUAAAACCCACACCAACCAAUUUUCCAGCCUGAUACCUCUCAGAGAUAGAAUCCAGGGUCAUUUUGUCCAGCUUGCUCAUUUUACAGGUGAGGAAGGUGUGUUUUCUGAGGCUUCUAUCAUAAGACUGCCGACUAUUUCA